AUUGAACGCUGGCGGCAUGCCUUACACAUGCAAGUCGAACGGUAACAGGUCUUCGGAUGCUGACGAGUGGCGAACGGGUGAGUAAUAUAUCGGAACGUGCCCAGUCGUGGGGGAUAACGCAGCGAAAGCUGUGCUAAUACCGCAUACGAUCUAUGGAUGAAAGCGGGGGAUCGCAAGACCUCGCGCGAUUGGAGCGGCCGAUAUCAGAUUAGGUAGUUGGUGGGGUAAAGGCCACCAAGCCAACGAUCUGUAGCUGGUCUGAGAGGACGACCAGCCACACUGGAACUGAGACACGGUCCAGACUCCUACGGGAGGCAGCAGUGGGGAAUUUUGGACAAUGGGCGCAAGCCUGAUCCAGCCAUGCCGCGUGCGGGAAGAAGGCCUCGGUUGUAACGCUUUGUCAGGAGAAUACUUCUGGUUAAUACUCGGGAGGAGUGACGGUACCGUGAAGAAUAAGUACCGGCGUAACUACGUAGCCAGCAGCCGAC
rnacentral:rRNA from 1 species